GCCUGGGUGGCUCAGUUGGUUGAGCGCCUGACUUCGGCUCAGGUCAUGAUCUCGUGACUCAUGAGUUCAAGCCCUACCUCGGGCU
rnacentral:tRNA from 1 species